GGGCAUGUAGUGUAGGAGUUAUCGCGUUCGCUUCGCAAUUUUCCAAAAUGCCUUCCGCGGAUUUGGAUAAUUGUAUAACGUGCUUUGCGAAAGGUCUCCGGUUCGAUUCCGUACUUGUCCA
rnacentral:tRNA from 1 species